rnacentral:rRNA from 1 species
UACGAAGGGGGCUAGCGUUGUUCGGAAUUACUGGGCGUAAAGCGCACGUAGGCGGACUAUUAAGUCAGGGGUGAAAUCCCGGGGCUCAACCCCGGAACUGCCUUUGAUACUGUUUGGCUCGAGUCCGGAAGAGGCGAGUGGAAUUCCCGGUGUAGCGGUGAAAUGCGCAGAUAUCGGGAGGAACACCAAUGGCGAAGGCAGCUCGCUGGGACGGUACUGACGCUGAGACGCGAAAGCGUGGGGAGCAAACAGG